UCAGGACGAACGCUAGCGGCAGGCCUAAUACAUGCAAGUCGAGGGGCAGCAUGGUCUUCGGACUGAUGGCGACCGGCGCACGGGUGCGUAACACGUAUACAACUUACCUUUGAGAGGGGAAUAGCCUGUGGAAACGCAGAUUAAUACCCCAUAUAUUUCUGAUACGAAUGUUAUCGGGAAUGAAAGCUCAGGCGCUCAAAGAUAGGCAUGCGCCCCAUUAGCUUGUUGGCGAGGUAACGGCUCACCAAGGCUACGAUCAGUAGCUGGUCUGAGAGGAUGACCAGCCACACGGGAACUGAGACACGGUCCCGACUCCUACGGGAGGCAGCAGUGAGGAAUAUUGGACAAUGGGGGCAACCCUGAUCCAGCCAUGCCGCGUGCAGGAAGAAGGUUCUCUGGAUUGUAAACUGCUUUUAGCGGGGACUAAUAAGAUGCUACAGGCAUCGAUGCGGAUCGGAGAAAAGCCCG
rnacentral:rRNA from 1 species